CGAUCAGGCAAGUCGCGUACUUUAAAGCCGAGCUCGAAACAUGUUUACUCGCCAAUAUCCCAGCACUGACAUUUAUAUACUACAACUACAUACAAUGUAUUUCGUACUCUGCUUAAACAAUGUGCGCUUUUUGCGACUGGCUUAUCUUUGAAAGGGAGAGAGCCCACUGCCAUGCCGGUCCCCCCUUUAAUGCUUAUGAGCUUAGACCCAAUUUUGAAUGUUAUCUCAAUGUAGCCACUGCGCCAGCACUUGGGAGCAGAGCACAUCCGAUGACGAAGCCCAUGGGGGAUCCAACUGGGAAAAACGUGAUGUGCAUGGCUAAUGAUGCGGUUCGAACCCAUAUUUAAUUGCAUUUUGACGGCUGUACAUCAACACAAUGGAUAAGUCAAUUAAAGGCCACAACCGGAAUCGCAAAAAACUUGGUGGGCAAAUGCGUUGCACUUCUGAUGCAUACAAUUGAGCGGAGAAGAGGCCAAGGCUCGUACCCCUAUCCCUAUAUGGUAGGGUUGGUUAUCCCAGAGAUGCGAUGUGCAUAGUCCCAAUUCGAAUUCGUUUGUUACACAUUUUAUUGCUGAUAUUUUUGUUUAACUAAAUACAACAUUUCUCUUUGCCUUA